UCUCUCUGUUCUUGUUUCCUUGUUAGGAUGCCGGUGGGCGGAGUUGGAAGGGUCGUCAGCUAAAUGGGAAGCACCUGGGCCCAGCUGUGUCCCAGGAUAAAGAGACCUCUUCCACAGUUAUUGAGAGGACUCUCUCCAUGCAGACACUUUGUUGAUUUUGGUUGUGUAGUUUUGUGGCUUUUUGGUUAUUUCCUUUGGCACCUUUCAACACCCUGCAUUAUUACAUUCAGAGCCGGUUCGUAACAAGUGGGGGCUCAUCCGGGAUCUUGAACGGAUUGUGUUUGGGAGAAAACGUGGAGGAUGCCGGUGGGCGGAGUUGGAAGGGUCGUCAGCUAAAUGGGAAGCACCUGGGCCCAGCUGUGUCCCAGGAUAAAGAGACCUCUUCCACAGUUAUUGAGAGGACUCUCUCCAUGCAGACACUUUUUUGAUUUUGGUUGUGUAGUUUUGUGGCUUUUUGGUUAUUUCCUUUGGCACCUUUCAACACCCUGCAUUAUUACAUUCAGGUAUGCAAAACACUCACUUACACUACUGAUUACACACACGCCAUUGUUAAUUAUUUAGUUAUUUUAGUUAAUAAAUAUAUAUUUUGAUACUCCUUGUCUCCACGU
rnacentral:lncRNA from 1 species